GCAGGCAGUACUCUUAACCGCUGAGCCAUCUCUCCAGGCCCUGGGAUUGUCUCUGUCAAGAGUAGGGAAAUCGUAGAGUCCUGGAGGCUGAGCUCCAACCUCAGCAAACAGUGGCUGGUUCCUCUGGAACCAGCUCUCAAUCACACCACCUUCCUGGAGGUAGGACAAAAUUUUCACCCUUUUUCAUCCCAGGACAAAGUGUGGCAUUUGGGGCUUUUUGUUAGUUUCAUUUAUUUAUAUUUUAAUAAGGUCUCAAUUACGUAGCCAAAGCUAGCUUUGAACUCACUGUAGGAAGGAGAUUGACACCCCCCCCCCAUUCCUCCCCACUUAGAAGAAAAUUAACAAGAAGGCUGCAAGCCCUUCAGGUCGAUUUUGUGUCAAGCCAAUACAUCUGAUUGUCUUAGCUAGGAUGGGAAGGGUGAAAGUCAGGGAGUCUGCUUUCACUUGGGUCCACUUAAGGCGCCCUACCCACCCACCUCCACUGGCUUUUGCUCACCCAAGGGCCAUGCAGAGGAAACAGUGUGGGCAAAGGCUGCCGUUCUUAUUCUACAGAGUCCCAAUGUCACCUCAUCCUAUUCCAUUUGAAACAGUCCCCUGCUCUGGUGACCCAGCCACACUCUCACUGUCCCCUGGACCAUACUGUAAAGCACUGGGCUGUGUGGGUCCCCCUAAGAUCCCCAGGUCCUCCAUACAUGGUUCUGGCUCUAUCUUUGCUCAGCAUGCAUACCUUAGCACGCAAGUGUCUAAACCCUUUUUGGUCUAGGCAUGCAAGUCAGUGCGUACAGAGCUCACCUAGCAUACUGGAGGUGAGACAUACCUCCCACCCAGCACAUGCAAGGAGGAUCAAAAGUUCAAGGCUAGCUUCGGCUACAUGUCGACUUUCAGGCCACCUUGGGCUGCAUGAGAUCCUGUGUCUCGGAAUAAAUUUUAAAAAGUUAAAUAAGCAUUUUGUUGGAAAGGGCAAAUACCAAAAUAUAUUGUACGGAAAAAAAUUCUUAUGUAAUGCAAAUUCCGAGAAACAAAGUUUUUCUAAAUUUUAAAAAGAAACUAUUUUCUCAGAAUCUCGGGCAUCCACCCAGGGCUAGGGUCCAGGGUUCCCAAGUCUUGGCCUGUCAGGUUGUCAAGGCGAAAGCGGCGCCUAACCUCCCUGGGCUCCGCCCCUCUGCCUAAUUCUUAUUGGGCACGCCCUUACCGGGGUCCCCUUCAGGAUUGGCUGAGAGAUGCAGCCCACGCGCAGGAAUGGCAUGUGAUUGGUUGUCAUUCAGGCCGGUUCUUCCCGGGGCCGCGAUCUGGGCUGAUGUGGGGCCAGUCCCGCACCAGCCAAUCAACGCGCCAAUCGCGUGUGGCGCGUGCCUAUGCUCAGAAUCCCUCCGCCGGGAUGCGGCAGGGGCGUGGCUACUUCAGUCCGGAAAGAAGUUCCUUGGGGCUGGUGCAGAGCCUUAGGUCCGCAGCAGUCUAGCUUUCAUUAGGGCUGCGGAUUACCUCUGUUGCAAGCACCUGAAUCGCUUGCUGGAAGCCCUGGGUUCCAGCACUAGCAUCCUCCAAAACAAGAAGCCACCCAUGAACAUAGACUGAAAUGAAGGCCCCAGAGAUGGCUCCGCUCCACUCCAUGGUUAAGGGGGCUUGCUGCCAAGACUGAAGAUCAGAGUUCAAUUCCUAAGACCCACAUGAUGGACGGGGAGAACUGAUGUCCUGAGAAGUCGUCUUCUGGUCUCGGCUAUGUCACAUGUCAUGUACGCCCUCACCCCCUAAAAUAAAUGUGUAUGUUGGGGAGAUGAAUCAGCAGUUGCCAGAGACUGUGCUGGAGUCACACACACACACACACACACACACACACACAACACACACACACA